rnacentral:rRNA from 1 species
CACUGACAAAGUGGCUCACUUUAAAAUGAUUUCGAAUUGACUCUGUUUGCAGUUGGUUUGACUUGGUGUUAUAAGUUAUUUCACUAAGGACAUCUCUCGGGGUGGCCAACCAAUGACUCUGUCAUGCUUUGCAUGUGCUUGCACAUCACAAGGCGCAACAUCUUUUGACAUCUGGCCUCAAAUCAGGUAGGACUACCCGCUGAACUUAAGCAUAUCAAUAAGCGGAGGAAAAGAAACUAACAAGGAUUCCCCUAGUAACGGCGAGUGAAGCGGGAAGAGCUCAAAUUUGAAAUCUGGCUGCCUUCGGUGGUCCGAGUUGUAAUCUAGAGAAGUGUUUUCCGUGCUGGCCCAUGUACAAGUCCCUUGGAACAGGGCGUCAUAGAGGGUGAGAAUCCCGUACUUGACAUGGACUCCCAGUGCUCUGUGAUACACUUUCAAAGAGUCGAGUUGUUUGGGAAUGCAGCUCAAAAUGGGUGGUAAAUUCCAUCUAAAGCUAAAUAUUGGCGAGAGACCGAUAGCGAACAAGUACCGUGAGGGAAAGAUGAAAAGCACUUUGGAAAGAGAGUUAAACAGUAUGUGAAAUUGUUAAAAGGGAAACGAUUGAAGUCAGUCGUGCGUUUUGGACUCAGCCGGUUCUGCCGGUGUACUUCCAAUUCGCGGGGUCAACAUCAGUUUUGCUCGGUGGAAAAGGGCUGGAGGAAGGUAGCACUCUCGGGUGAACUUAUAGCCUCCUGUCGCAUACACCGGGUGGGACUGAGGAACGCAGCAUGCCUUUUGGCCGGGGUUCGCCCACGUACAUGC